CAUCAUCACUGGAAUCAGGUAAGUUUAAAAAAAAAAAGUUAUUAACCAUUUGCAUGGGGGCACCGCAGAUGUGUGUAUAUAUACACAAAACUGCAUUCUAACACCAGUGUUUCUUUGAGAGCAUGCCUUUGUUAAAGUAGGCAUAAACACUCCACUGUCUAGUAGAUAUACCCCAACUGAAAACAUGCAUGUAUUUAAUAUGCUUUUUAUUCAUUGGGGGCAUAUCUAAAAAAGUUGCACAUCUCCUGCCUAAAGCCUUUAAGCCCUCUCCAAACUCAGCUCCAGACUUUCUACGGCUAUUCAAUUACAGAUUUCCCAAUGCAACUCAAUUAGAAGUUUUCAAAGAAGGCACUCUGAGCAAUUGCCUGCCUCUUGAAUUUAGCUGCACUGAGCUGAACUACCAGGAAGUAACCGUACAGCCGGUCUGAAUAGCAGCCAUGGGUGUGUAACAUUGUUCAUUUAUAAAAAGUGCCAAUUUCUAUUAAAAUCUGCAAUGAGGUGGACAUACGCUUCACACAUACAGCACUUCAGCUUGCUUUAGGGGUCCGGAGUAUCCCUUUAAUGAUCAAUUAGCAUGUCCC